rnacentral:tRNA from 1 species
GGGGAUGUGGCGGAAUUGGCAGACGCGCUAGAUUUAGGAUCUAGUGGGCAUAGCCCGUGGAGGUUCGAGUCCUCUCAUCCCCA